AUGCAUAAAUGAUGCAAGUAUGUAUGUCAUGUAUGAAUGUUAUGUAUGAAUGUAUGAAUGUUAUGUAUGUCAUAUGUAUGCUGACAAAACAGAUAGAGAGACAAAUUGGAGAUGACCAAAAAACACCACAACCGGAUACUCCACCAAUCUCAAUCAAGAUGGAAACAUCACUAGAGAGAAAACAAAACCACCGAUAGAGUAGAGUUCUUCUACAAUGCUCAAAUCUCACUGGGGAGAGGAAAAUAUUUCCUGAGGAGAAACCUCCAAAAUUCAAUCCUCUAAUAUCACAAAUCCGUUGAAAGGAUAACAACGUGA
rnacentral:lncRNA from 1 species